CGAAUUUCACCAAACUGCUAUGAAUUUCACCUACACCCAUAAAAACACAAGAAAAACUCAAAGUAGCAUCCAAAGGUGAAUUUUGCACUAAAACAUAAUAAAACUUAAAAAAAUCUAACUAAAAACAAUAUAAAAACAACUGGAAAAAGGGUAUAAGAUGCUCACGCAUCACAACACCAAACAUAAACUGUUGCUUGUCCUAAGCAUCCAAAAACAAAAUAAGAACAAUGAAGAGAAAACACACAAGAUUAGAGUUGUCAAUCAAGCUCAAGUCUAAUUACCGAUUGGAGAUAAUGACACUCUAUCUGAAUAGCUUUGGCAUCUCGCUUUCUUUUGAAGAUAAAAAAUAUUGGCAUCCUUUAGAACUAGAAUCCGGGUGAUAUUAUUGAUUCUCUUUUUUAGGUUCCUGGUGAUUCUUGAACACAGCUUUUAUUUCCUUUCGGUGCUUUUCACCUUUGAGCCUAGCCGUGACUCUAAGUGUUUUGUUUUCAAGCUUUAACUUGAUACAUAAAUACCACAAGAACUUAACUGGGGGAACCCUUUGGAUUCGACUUUUACUUUGCUUUUAUUCCCAGACAGUGGUGCUCAAAGCUUUAAGCGUACUCUUUACAACAUUGGGUCACGACUUUAAGUGUUCAGUCUCAAGGGUUACUUGACACUUUCACACCACAAGCAUAUAGUUAGAAAAAACCACUCUUUUGAGCUUUUAGAUCAAUUUUGACCCUCCUAACCUUUGAUGCUCAAAGCCUUGGACCUUUUUUUUGUUUUUUUUUUUUUUUUGCUGUUUCUUUUGCUUCAAGAAUCAAUUUGUUUAUUAUUUCACAGAAUCAAUAGUACUUUUCUAAAUUCCUAUUCCUCAAGAACCAAUAUACUCAACUUCAAUAUCAAAUAUGCACAGUUAAUUCAUACAUUCAGAAAAUAGAGAUAAGGCUACCACAUCAAAAUGAAUAGAACAACUCAUAAUAUAACUCAAGACCUUAUGCAUCUUACUACUUCUUUUUCAAUAGAUUUUUCUUUUUAAGCUUGGUGAAAAACACCUAAGACAUCUUUCAAUGAAACGAAAAAGAACUACUCCUAGAAAACAAAAAAAAAUCCUAAGAGUGAUCAUGCAACUAGAAUAAAAAAUAGGUAAAAAUUGAAAUACUAGGAAAACAAAAAUAAAAUUGAAAUAGGGAGAAUAGAAUUAGACCACCUCAGUGAUGGUGGCUACUGUUCCCUCCAAUGAAUCCUCUGGAGCGUUUAAGAUCCUCAAUGUCACACCCCUGCCUCCUCUGCUCCUCUAUCAAUCUCCUUUGAUCUUCCAUCAUCUGAUGGAGGAUAGCAGACUGGUCCUGAUGCUCCAGGCUCAGCUGAUCAACUAAUAUUGUCAGUUCCCCUAAAUAUGUGGUCAACUGAUCCCAAUAGUCACGAGGAGGGAAGUACAUCCCUUCAGGCAUCUCCAGAACUUCCUGUGGAGGUGAUGGAACUGGCUCUUGCUGCGGUCUUUGUGCAGGCUCCCUAGCGUGCUCCAUACCCUUCCUUGUGAUGGGUCUCUCCUUGUCAUUUAGGGUAUCUCCCUCUAUGUGAGCUCCAGCUACUGCACACAAGCGGUGAAUGAGAUGAGGGAAUGCCAUCCUUGCUUGAGUGGAGGGCUUGUCAGCUACUCUGUAAAUCUCUUGAGGGAUUAUCUCAUGUACCUCCACCUCAUUGUCAAGUAUAAUGUAGUGAAUCAUCACUGCACUCUCGACCGUAACCUCAGAGCGGUUACUCGUAGAGAUGAUCAAAUAUUGGAUGAACUCCAACCAUCUCCUAGCCACUGGCUUAAGGUCAAGCCUGCCUAGUUGGUAAGGCUAACCUUGAGCGUCCCUCCUCCACUGAGCUCCAGGCAUGAAGAUAUCAUCAAGAACUUGCUUUAGCCUUUGGUCAGUGUUGACCCUUUGAGUGUAUGACUAAGGGUUGCUUCGUGGCUCUGGCAACUGUAACACCACCCUCACACUCUCAGGGCUGAAGUCUAUGAUGUGUCCUCUGACCAUGGUGUGCCAGUUCUUUGGCUCUGGGUUCACACUUGUAUCAUGCUUCUUUGUGACCCAGGCGUUGGCAUAGAAUUCUUGCACUAUCAGCACUCCAACUUCGGUAACAGGGUUGGCCAGAAUUUCCCAAUCCUGUCUCAGAACUUGGUACAAAAUUUCUGAAUACUCAUUGUCCUCCAGCUUGAAGGGGACCUUGGGAAUCACUCUCUUCUUCCUCACCACGUCAUAAAAAUGGUCUUGAUGGGCCUUGGUGAGGAAUCUUGUGGUCUCCCAUGGCUCGGAUGCAAAAGCGGGGGCUUUUCCUUUUCUUUUUCUUGAGGACUCUCCGAUUUUUGGUGUCAUAGUGGUAAGAUAUAAGAAGCAAAAAGUGAAGCUUCCAACACCAAACUUAAAAGUUUUGCUCAGGGGCAUACAAGAAAAGGAAAAAUAAAGAAAAUAAAAGAGGUAGAGAGAGGGGAUAGGGUAUAGGCUUCGGUCUUUGGGAGAGAAGAAAAGAAAAAUGAAGAAAAUGAAUGUGUAAGGUCAAGAAUGUGUAAGAGGGGAAGAGUAGUAAAGGUGUGUUGACGGUAGAUGAAGUGAGGGGUAUUUAUAGGAGUGGGGAGGGUGUGGGUUCAGUCAUUGGGGAGGAAAAAAUGGAGGGGGGUGAACAGAGUUUGAAUUUGAAUGGGGUAGAUGGGAAGAGAAAUUGAUGGGAUUGAUAAGAGGUUAUUAGGUAGAGGAAAAGGUGGGGUGAGGGAAUCAAGGGAAUAAAUGGGUGAUGUGAUGGAUGAAUGUGGAUGGAAAAGUGGGUAAAGUGGGAGAGAGAGGAUAAGAGUGAGUAAAUGGUAAAGUGGUUGGUGGUUGGGAAGUAUCCUUUGGCCAAAGACUUUGAAUUUCAGAAUGCUACCUCCCCCUAGGCGUUGAACGCCAGAGGGGAUCCCUUUUUUGGAGGGGGGGGCAUUCAAUGCCAAGGAUGGGCACUGAACGCCCUAGGGGGACCAAAAUUUGGUCCUAGACUUCUUUUUUAUGGAUGUUAAAUGCCCAAGCUUCCAUCCCUCGUCUGGCCUUCAACGCCAGCAAGGGGAAACCUCCAGGGUGUUCUGUUUUCCUACUACGUGUUCCUGUUUCUAUUCUAAGUGCUACACAUGAUCACAAAUGUUAGAAAAAAGAGGAAAACUAUAAAAUUCAAUAGAAAAUAAAAUGAUAUGAAAUCAAAUUCAAAUAAACUAAAAUAACAUAAAAGAAAGCAAAAGUUAACUAUAGGAUACAUAUAGUUUGGUUGCCUCCCAACAAGCACUUAUUUACCGUCAUUAGCUUGAUGGAUAGCUCCUUUUACGGAGGUUCAUAUGGGAUCAGAUCUUCACCCCUCAUAGUGAACUUCUUUCCUGUACUUUCAUGAAUUAGUUUAACGUGUUCCAGAGACAGGAUCCGGUUCAUAGUGUAUGGUAUGACUGGACUUCUUGUGAAAAUAACUCUCAUGCCAGGUGAGAAGUCUUUAGUGAGAAUCUUCUUGUUCCUCCAACCUUUAGGUACUUUCUUCUUGGUGCCUCCUUCUUCAAUGGUUGGUGGUGAAUGCCCAAUACCAAACUUAGGUUUGAUGUCAGGGGGUUCUGUAUGGGUUUCCACUGAGAGAGAAGGUUGAAACACUAUGUGUUGUAUGGUAGUAGUACCUCCUUUAUCCGAGAGAGAGUGAGGGAUGGGCAUCUUAAACAUUAUAUGGUCCCUCCAUCUUAAACUUGGCUUUAAUUGCAUGUUUCUAGGUUUAUUGCAUGCUUUUGCAUACAUAUAAUAAACUUAGUUAAUUCAAUGAAAUUUUCCAAGAAAAACAUUCUUGGCAGGGCAUUGAUAUCCUAAUUGAUUUGAGUUGGUAUAUCUUUUGAUUGAAACUUGCUUGAAAAAUAUUGUGGAACAUGUUUUUGAGCUAAGAACAUAUAAGCAUGUGAGUUUUGAGCCUCAUUGUGUGGUUACUUCAUAUAACCACUCUUUUCAUUCUUGUGUGUGUUAUUCACUUUUUAUGAUUGCAACCUUUGAUUUGUUUAACUCUUUAUGUCCAUUGUUUGAUAUAUAUAUGCCUUUAUAUGAUUGAGACCAUCUUUUCAUUAAACUCACUUACCCAAAUAGCCUACCCUUUUAUCUUCCUUUGUUAACCAACUUUGAGCCUAUUUCAAUCCCCUUUUGUUCUUAAACUUAGCACAUUACUAGCCUUAAAGCGGAAAACAAUAAAUGUUCUUCAUUUAGAUCUUUGAUUAGCUUAGGUUAGUGAGUGUGUGAAUCAUCUAAGUAUGGGAAAGUUUGGGAACUUUGGUUGAGGUAAAAGAGGAUGUUUGCACUUUUGUUGAAAAUCUUGGAAAUUAGGUACAUGCUCAUGCAUUAAAUACUUAAACAUAUGUAUUGACACUCUUGAAUAUAUUUUGUAUUAAAAAAAAGUAAUAAAAAGGGGACAAAAUACCCCAAAGUUUGAGAAAUAAAAGAAUAAUACAUAUGUGACAUGAAUUGAAAGAAUGCAUGAGUGUGUGAAAAAGUGAAGAAUGGGUAGUUAGGCUUGCUUUGAAUUAUAUAGGUUGUUAUGUAGGUUAGAUGAGAGCUUAAGUUAGUCAAAGAUUCAAAUUUCAAGCUCACUUAACCAUAUAUAACCUUACCUUUACCCUAGCCCCAUUACAACCAUGAAAAGUCCUCAUGAUGCUUGCAUGCAUACAUUGAAUAAUUGUUGAUUGUUAGAUGAAAAACAAAUCUUAGAAUGCUUGAGUAUAAGUGAAUUGAGUGAAUCAACCCUAAACACUUGAGUGAUUAGAGUGUAUACACAUCCGGUGAGGGGUUCGAUUAUUCAAAUUCUAUGUUUCCACUUAGUAUUAUUGCCUUUCUUGCAAGUUGUUAAUUCUUUUCAAUAACUCUAAUCAAUUAUGGAUUUAACUUGGUUAUGAUUACUUUAGCCCUUAUGUUCAUAUAUGCCUUCUAGGAAAUUGAGUUAUUUUGACUAAGUAGUUGCAUUCAUUUAGAUAGAUUGCAUGUAGGUAGUUUACUUGCAUUGAAUAAAUUUAAUACCCCUUGCUUCUUUCUUGAGUACAUGAGGACAUGCUAUUGUUUAAGUGUGGGGAUGUGAUGAAUCCACAUUUCAUGGUAUUUAUUUGCUCUAAUUGGGUGGAUUUCAUCAACUUUCCUUGCAUUUAUUCGAUGGAAUAGCCUGGUUUUGUAAAGUCUCUAUGAAAUAUGCUUAAAAGUGAAAACAUGCUUUUUAGGCCCUUUUAAUUACCAAAUUUUAUUCACUUUAAUCCCAUUUGAUGCCUUGAUGUGUUUGCUACGUGAUUUCAGGUUUCCAAGGCAAGUAUGGGUUGAAGAAGUGAGAAAAAGAGCAUGCAAAAGUGGAGAAACCAUGAAAAAAUGGAGUUUGGAGCUUUUCAGUAGUGUGCGCACACACAAGUAGGUGUGCGUACGCACAAGUGAGAGUCAGCCAGGUGACGCGUACGUGUGGAAGUGAAUUUUGCCAAGUGACGCAUACGCGUGACCUCAUUAAUGCAAUUCGCUGGCUGUGAAUUUUGGGCCCCCAAAACCCAAUCCAACUCAUUUCUGAAGCUAUUUCAACCCUAAUUCAAGUGGAGGCAGGGGGGAGCAUUUAGUUUUAGGUUUUAUUAUGUUGUUGCUUUAGUUUUCUAGAGACAGAAACUCCCCCUUCUCUCUAAAAUUUAGGUUUUCUUAGUUUAAUUCUCUUUAAUUUCAGCUUUUAAUUCUUGUUCUAAUGUAGUUUUCUUUAUGUUUUCAUGCUCUUUUGUCUUUAUCUUCUUCAUUUCUCUUGUUAUUUCUUUUAUUUUUUCACUUUUAAUUUAUGAACACUUUUGUUGAAUUUAAUUCCAUUUAAUGCAAAUUUAUGUUUCCAUGUUAUUCUUGCUUUCUUUAGUUGUUAUUAUUACUUCCUUGCAUUUGAUAGUUUUAGAUUUUAUCAUUAUUACAAUUUAAUAUUAUUUUAUUCUCAUGCAUACCAAGUGUUUGAUAAAAAUGCUUGGCUUAGUUUUUACCUAGUUUUUCUUCACUCUUGGCUUGGAAUUGAGAUUUUGGUGACCCUUGAGUCAUUGAUGUCCAUUCUUGUUUGAUACAUUAGAGUAGUUAGUUGAUUUGUUUUCCAUUGACUCUAAGCCUCCCAUUAAUAGAGUUGGCUAGGACUUAUGAAUUGGAAUCAACUAUGCCUAUUUGACUUAUCCUCGAUGUAGGGUAGACUGAGUAGAAUUAACUCUUCAUAAUCAUCAUGUGUUUGUGGUCAAUAGCUAGGAUAGGUAACCUUAGCUCUCAAUCCAUGCCAAGAGGUUUCUUGCAUUUUAAUUUCCCUUUCCUUUUGAUUAAUUGCCUCGCAUUUCACUGCCUUGACUUUAAUUUCUUGCAUGUUCAUUUAAUUCCUUGCUAUUUACAUUACUUCGCUUCUCUUGCAAUCAACCCCCAUUUUCCCCUUAUAGCCAAUAAUUGAUCACAUUAAUUACAACUUCUAGGGAAGACGACCCGAAUAUUGAAAACUCCCGGUUAAUAAUUGGAUUUUGAAAUUAAGCUUUGAUGUUGGUCAAUUAUUGGGUUUGGACUAUACUUGCAAUGCCAAUUCUAAUUUGAGAAAAAUUCCGAACCCACUUUGGGCUUACAUCAGCAGAUUGCAAGUAGCCUUCAUGACAGCAUCGAUGCACUCAGAGAUGUUUGCCAUCCUGUGCCCAAAUUUGUGACCCUCAUCUGCAUAUUGCGUCCAUGGUGAACGUGGCAUUUCUUCUAGCUAGUUCGUGAUUGCCACAUUCUCCCCUUCCCCAACCCACCAAAGUAAUGAGCGAGCUCCCUACGUGACUUGAAAUAUGUUGCGUUAAUAAGUACCUUCUUUAAGUCCUUAUUCUUGAAGUGCGUCGUGAAAUUGGCAAGGUUGUGAGAACCAGACCGAUCAAUGAACCGGUAAGGUAACUGGUUCACUGAUUUAUUAGUUCAAUCGGAGUUCAAUUGGGGUUCAACGAUUUAAUUAAACAUUAAAUAAAUAUAUUAAAAUUUAAUAUAUAAUUAUAAAUAUUUAAAUUCAAUAAUUUCUAACCUAAUAAAAUUUAAAAUUUCACAAUUUCACAUGAUAAAUUAUCCAUAAUUUAUCAAUAGAAAUUCAUAAACAACUUCAAACAUCAAAGUUUAUAACUAAAACAGAUCAAAAUACAUGUAAAUGACAAAUACAUAAUGUUCUACCACCAAAAGAAAUAACAUUAACAAACAAAUUUUCAACUAAAAUUAACUCACAAAAUCAGAAAACAACAAUAUUAUUUCAGAAAAUAAGAUACUGUCCACAAAACAGAUCAUGCUUGAUUCGGCCAUGUCUACCUCAACGGUAGAACCUAUUUUGUGGAUCGUUUUCAAUCAAAUGUAGUCAGCUUCCUAUUAUUUCUUUAAUCUCAUCUUUCGGUUUCAACGUAGUCAGAGAACUAUAUUUUAGAGUUCUAUACUUCUAUUCUAGCAAAAAUAAGGUAUUGUCAAUCAAUAUUAGUACCAAAAGGUUUAAAGGGAAAACCCAAUAAUUCUCAAAAUUUAUUGUUUGCUUUGCUUAAAUCUUGGUUUGGCACAUCUUGAAGUUCUUUAGAGGCAACUAUAUAAAAUCAUAAAAUGCUCUUCUAUCAAAAUCUUCACCUAUAUUUUACCUCAAUCAAAUCACCAUAUGUGCACAAUGAUGCCUAAUGAGAUUCGGCGACAAGGUAAUAACAUAUACAGAGGCACUGAUGUAAGGAUUGACACACACUUAAAUCUCAAGCAACGUUCUCAAACAUAAUCGAAAUUGCUUACACAGUUAUUAGAUUCUUACAGUGUUGAUAAAGAAGGGCUAUGACAUGCAUGAUUACAGAAACAGGAACGAAAAGAAUUUUAAAUUUGACCAUAAUCCCCAAUUUAAAUUUGAAAUUUCAAUAGUCACAUACCUUCAGAUUAGAAUUGGUUCUUAAUUGAGAUUUGAUUACACAAUUGUUGAAGCAAGCAAACGCUAUAAUAAUUACAUGAGCAAAAGUUAAGAGAAUAAAAAUAAAUUAAUUGAAAAACUGAAGAACUCACUGCGGCAGAGAGAAUAGAGAAGGACAGUGACGACAAGAAAAGGAAUAGUAACUGAAGAACUCAGCGACCAGUCGACGACAAGAAAAGGAUCGCGACGGGAAACGAAGAGCGCCGGCAAAGAAACAAAUGUACCCGUGGGUUCUGUGCACAUGAGUAACGCCGAUGGGAGAAGUGGGAGGCUCGGUUGAGGCUAGUCCGGCGGCGACGGUAGCCUCUAGCUGACGGAGAGUAGCUUGGCGAUUGAGAAGGGGGAUGUUGCUCUGCUCUGAUAGGGUUUAGGGGUGGGUUUGUGAGAGAAAGAAGGGGGAG
rnacentral:lncRNA from 1 species